rnacentral:rRNA from 1 species
GACGAACGCUGGCGGCGUGCUUAACACAUGCAAGUCGAACGGUGAAGGGGUCUGCUUUUGUGGGCCCUGGAUGAGUGGCGAACGGGUGGGUAACACGUGAGUAACCUGCCCCCUUCUUCUGGAUAACCGCAUGAAAGUGUGGCUAAUACGGGAUAUUCUGGGUCUGUCGCAUGGUGGGUCUGGGAAAGAUUGCGCCUUUGGGUGUUUUUGGUGGGGGAUGGGCUCGCGGCCUAUCAGCUUGUUGGUGGGGUGAUGGCCUACCAAGGCGGUGACGGGUAGCCGGCCUGAGAGGGUGGACGGUCACGCUGGGACUGAGACACGGCCCAGACUCCUACGGGAGGCAGCAGUGGGGAAUAUUGCACAAUGGGCGCAAGCCUGAUGCAGCGACGCCGCGUGAGGGAUGGAGGCCUUCGGGUUGUAAACCUCUUUCGCCAGUGAAGCAGGCCUGCUCCUUGUGGGUGGGUUGACGGUAGCUGGAUAAGAAGCGCCGGCUAACUACGUG